AUGUUUGUGAUGUGACUUAGUUUGAAAUGACAGAGAUAUAACAACUGGACAGACACACACUUGUCCUUUUAUUAUGGUGUAUAUUACCCCUUUAUUCUUUUACAACAGACUCCUUCUCAUCUGCCUAUGCAUUUCGAUACUGUCCACUUCUACUCUUUAUUCACCUAACACUGUAUAUAUAGUAUAUGGAUUUCUUAAUUACAGUCAUCCAAUAAUGAGCUCAGAAUGGCCAUUACUGGUCUUUGGUUAGUCCCUUCUAAUAUAAUGCUAAUCUGCUCUGUAAAGCUUUGUGCACAGUUUUUAAGUCUACGAAAUAACGUUCACUUUUUAAUUCCCAUUCAGCUAGUUUGUUUCCUUAAUUAUUUCUGCUAAUACGGGCAAUUACCGUUCGUUAAACAUCAGAUCCACCAUUUCUGCCGUAAAUGCCAACAUCAACAGUUUACGCACAUAUUGCCAUUUCUCUCAUUAGUUUUUCCUACGAGGCUGAAGUUUAGGUCGAGCAUAACCACACACAACUGUUGCCUCCAACCAGUUUCCCCAGAGUGCAAAAAGUAUCAGCGACUCCUCACGCUGCGCACGUGCUCAAGGAAUGAAUGCGCGAUCACGUACGCUUCUACGGCAAGCUGUAAGGUCCAAGCUACGUGUUUACACAAACUUCGACAAUUCCGUAACGUGCUGCGCGUUUCUAAAGAACUCACUGUCAGAAGUAAAUUGCAUUUUUAUAGUGAAAAAGCAAGCAGAAAUCUGGAAUUGCUUAAUACAAGUGUUCGCGUCUGAUUUUCACGUAUCUUUUAACGCUUCACAUCUGGUAAAGUUCUUACAUAUUUAUAUUCUUUGAACAUUUUCUGCACAGAUAUCAUCAGUUUUUGAACUUGUUUACCGACAAGAAUAUUUUCAUUUGCAAUGCACGCGUAUUUCAUACUGGUACAUAAAGUUUCGCAAACAAAUCUCAUUUAUAAAAUCAUAGACGUAUCGACUUACUUUAUCUGGAAAAAAAUUACAAAAAAAAAGUCACGCUUAUUUCUUUGUGUAAUUUUGGGGAAUACAUUUUAUUAUAUAUUAUGUCUUAUUCAAGCCUAUUCCUACUGUCUUAGUCAGCUAGGAACAACUGAAAUAACUCAUUUAGUUGAAGUGACUAAACGGAUGCCCUAUACAGACUCACUUAAACGAUUUGAAUGUUAAAAAUAAGAGACACCAAAGCUGACGGGUGUGCCUUCACAUUUCAAAACUUUUUUAUAUUCUGUAGGAAUGAGGUACAGAAAUCAGACAUGAACAAACACUUGUGGUUGUUUUAUCCCACGUGGUAAGAUGAAAACUUACACUUACCUGCCUGGUUUGAACUGAAAACAUAAGAGGAGCUAAAACUGACAGGUAUGGAAUGGAAAAUCAGCUGCUAAAUUCAUGAAACCGUACUUACCUCUCCUGUUCAGAAGAAAGAAGGAAAAAAAAAAAAGCAGAAACGCAUUGGAGACCAAAACUGACAGGGAGGGAGAGGAUCCUCUAAAAGCAGUGAAGUCUAUGCCUAGAAUAAUGAUACCACCAAGGCCAAGGCAAGU